GCAAACGACGGUCAAGGGCGCGGGGGAACACGUAGGGGGGAAGCGUGGGCCGGAUGUAUUGGGCGGAAAGAGCUCGUAGUGGGUUCGGUAAGUCGGGUGUGAAACCUCCAAGCUCAACCUGGAGACGCCACCCGAUACUGCCGUGACUAGAGUCCAGUAGGGGAGCGUGGAAUUCCUGGUGUAGCGGUGAAAUGCGCAGAUAUCAGGAGGAACACCAGCGGCGAAGGCGGCGCUCUGGGCUGGCACUGACACUGAGGAGCGAAAGCGUGGGGAGCGAACAGGAUUAGAUACCCCUGAGUC
rnacentral:rRNA from 1 species